UUUUCGCCAUGCCCGAAAGGGUGACGAAGCGACGCCGCGUGUGGGAAGAAGGCCUUCGGGUUGUAAACCACUGUCGGGAGUUAGGAAAUGCAGGUGCGUUAAUAGCGCACUUGCUUGACUAAGGCUCCAGAGGAAGCCACGGCUAACUCUGUGCCAGCAGCCGCGGUAAUACAGAGGCGGCAAGCGUUGUUCGGAAUUAUUGGGCGUAAAGAGCACGUAGGCGGCCUUGCAAGUCAGUUGUGAAAGCCUUCCGCUUAACGGAAGAACGGCAUCUGAUACUACAGGGCUUGAGUACGGGAGGGGAGAGUGGAACUUCUGGUGGAGCGGUGAAAUGCGUAGAUAUCAGAAGGAACGCCGGCGGCGAAAGCGACUCUCUGGUCCGAAACUGACGCUGAGUGUGCGAAAGCUAGGGGAGCAAACGGGAUUAGAUACCCCGGUAGUCCUAGCCGUAAACGAUGGGCACUAAGUAGAGGGGUUUUGAUUAUUUCUCUGCCGGAGCUAACGCAUUAAGUGCCCCGCCUGGGGAGUACGGCCGCAAGGCUAAAACUCAAAAGAAUUGACGGGGGCUCGCACAAGCGGUGGAGCAUGUGGCUUAAUUCGAUGCAACGCGAAGAACCUUACCGGGGCUUGACAUGGUAGAAGUAGAAUCCUGGAAAGGGUGACGAUCGGUAUCCAGUCCAGAAGCUAUCACAGGUGUUGCAUGGCUGUCGUCAGCUCGUGUCGUGAGACGUUGGGUUAAGUCCCCUAACGAGCGAAACCCUUGUCUUUAGUUGCUAACGGGUAAUGCUGAGCACUUUAGAGAGACUGCCGUCGUUAAGACGGAGGAAGGUGGGGACGACGUCAAGUCAUCAUGGCCCUUAUGUCCCGGGCUGCACACGUGCUACAAUGGUCGGUACAAAGGGAU
rnacentral:rRNA from 1 species